rfam:Brachypodium distachyon strain Bd21 chromosome 1, whole genome shotgun sequence.
UAAAUACUCCCUCUGUCCAACAAAGGAUGUCUCAACUUUGAUUAAAUUUGAAUGCAUCUAUACACUAAGUCAUGUCUAGAUACAUUCAAAUUUUGACAAACUUGAGACAUCCUUUCUUGGACGAGACUAUAUA